rnacentral:rRNA from 1 species
GAAUUGUGAUCUUAUACAACUAUUAYUUAUUUUUAAAGUAAUUUUUGUAAGCAUUGGGGGGUCGUGAAGAUUCUAUCAGUGAGUAUUUGUUCUCGAAAGGGCUAUGAUUAAUAUUGAAUAAUCAGACAUAGUACGCUAAGGUUGUAUGUCUAAAGGGAAACAGCCCAGAGCAAGUGUAAAUAAGGUUCCAAAAUUAUUAUUAAGUGAAAUAAAGGUAGUUUAUGUCUUAAACGGCCAGGAAAUGGGCUUAGAAGCGGCCAUUUUUUAAAGACCUCGUAACAGAGCACUGGCUUUGUCCUAUAAUUUAGGAUAAAUUAGAUUUAAAUUUCUUAGAUCUAAUUUACAUGGAUAUGAGCACCGACGAUACAACGGAUCUAAAUAAUAUACCGAUACCUUGUCCAUAAAAAUAUAUACUUAUUAUCUGUAUAAGAUAAGUUAUUUGAAAAAGCAAACAAACAGGAGGUAAUAAAAGAGAAUUAAAUCGAAAAUUUUUUUUUUAGUUUUUUUUUUUUUAUUAAAGUGAUAAAUGUUCUGGAAAAUAGCACUUUAGACAUUUUCUAAUAACAACAGACUAUUGUUAUAAACAAUAGUGAGUUUUAGAAAAAAAAAUGAACCCGUAGAUGGUAAACGAAAGUGGUAGUUUUCUAUAAACACAUCGAAAGAUGUGAAAAAAUUUUAUAAUUAAGUUAAAGAUACCGUACCUAAAAACUACCACAAGUAAGCAAGUAGA